rnacentral:rRNA from 1 species
UAAGGAAUAUUGGUCAAUGGACGCAAGUCUGAACCAGCCAUGCCGCGUGCAGGAUGACGGCCCUAUGGGUUGUAAACUGCUUUUCCAGGGAGAGAAACUUGCGUACGCGUUGCGCAAUUGACGGUACCGCCAGAGGAAGCACCGGCUAACUCCGUGCCAGCAGCCGCGGUAAUACGGAGGGUGCAAGCGUUAUUCGGAAUUACUGGGCGUAAAGCGCGUGUAGGCGGCCCUGCAAGUCUGAUGUGAAAGCCCCGGGCUUAACCCGGGAAGUGCAUUGGAAACUGCAGGUCUUGAGUACUGGAGAGGAUGGGGGAAUUCCCGGUGUAGAGGUGAAAUUCGUAGAGAUCGGGAGGAAUAUCAGUGGCGAAGGCGCCCAUCUGGACGGUAACUGACGCUGAGACGCGAAAGCGUGGGGAGCAAACA